CCUACGGGGAGCAGCAGUGAGGAAUAUUGCUCACUGGACGCAAGUCUGAACCAGCCAUGCCGCGUGCAUGAAGACGGCUCUCUGAGUUGUAAACUGCUUUUGUACGGGGGAAAACGCAGAUGCGCGUAUCUGUCUGAAAGUAUCGUACGCGUAAGGAUAGGCUAACUCCGUGCCAGCAGCCGCGGUAAUACGGAGGCGUCAAGCGUUGUCCGGAUUUAUUGGGUUUAAAGUGUGCGUAGGCGGUUGGAUAAGUUAGAGGUGAAAUCCCUAGGCUCAACUUGGGCAGUGCCUCUGAUACUGUUAGGCUAGAGUGGAGUUGCGGUAGGCGGAAUGUAUGGGGUAGCGGUGAAAUGCGUAGAGAUC
rnacentral:rRNA from 1 species